rnacentral:lncRNA from 10 species
AUGCUCAUAGGGCCGGAGCAGGAGACCCUAACUUCCUGGCUCCCGCACUCCCCAGGCGCACCACAUUUCAGCACGACGGACAGCGCAGCACUGGGGCGCGACUGGGGAGGCGGGGACCAAUACCACGCUGUUUCAGCCCGGCUUUUUCAAAUCUCUCGGGUCUCCGCCCUCAUUUCCGUGCAUUUUCGAAACGACUGUCACAGCAACCGAAGCCACAAAAACACAUUCACAGAAAACGGGGAAGCUCCAGGGUUCGCUUACCGUCUGACAAGUCAAUCAGUCCGAGGCAAUUUCUCCAAAGGUUUAACCAGUCCCUAAUCUUCUGCUAGCUGAGUGUAACCAUCACUGGCAACAUCUCAUGGCAUAUUCUCUCGGCAGCUCAGAGAAAACGUGUGUCAGUGUAGACCAUUUGAAAGACAUACAGAAAGAGCCCCAUUGCUUUAGAUCGCAGAUAGAUGGAGAGAUGAAAGAUGCUUUUUCAAAGGGACAACAAUUUGUCUUCACUUCCCAGUGAAAAACCCAACAAGCUGGUCUGGAACAUAUGUGGUCCCUGCUUUGACACAGUGAAAUGUCCCUGGAAACUGUACCACCAGGAAAGCUAUGGAAAUCAGCAAGGCAGUUGCUAAACCUUUGUCAGCUUGAAAUCAGCCAUGGUAGGGUGUUGACACCACAGAAAUGCUACACAUCAGUGUUUCUUCACCCUCCCCACUGUCUCUGAAUUACCAGGAUGCCACGCUACCAUUCCAGAUCCCAUCUGCCCAGAAGAAAACCUGAGAAAUUCACCUGCCCAGAGGUUUUUCUGACUUACUGUGUUUCCUCUCCUCUGGGGCCCUAGCAAGUGUAAUAAUUAACCCACUGGGCUUAAUGGGAUUUUAGGCAUUCACAUAUCCAGAUAUGCGGAACUAAAUUAGAAGCAGGAAGACUUCCAUGUUUCUGGAAAGAAUGAUGCAAGAAGGCAGAGUAGUGGUUCCCACUGUCUGCUUUGCUGUUACUGUGUAAAGACUUACAUUCUUCCAAGAAUUCUGACUUCACAGACAGCUCCCCUUCUGGAUUGUCUCCUAACCUUGAACUUUAGGAGCAACUGUGUCUCAGGACCCUUUGACAUUUCAGUACCAGAAAUCAAAUGUCGCUUCAGAAGCCCGGCCCUCCAAAGAUGUCACAAUCCAACCUCCCACACGCACAGGAGAACAGCGCGUUUGGAGGGAUGAAGUAACUCACCAAGGUCACGCAGUCCUGCAGAGCCAGGAUCCCAACCCAGGAAGUCCUCAGAGCCGGCCCUCGCCACCGACUCCCUGGAGGUAUGUCCAUUUCACUCAAAUACCCAACAGAUUGAGGGUUUAAAUGUAAUAUGCCCAUUUUUUGAGACGUCCGUUCUGUUCAGAGUUUGAUAUCUUAUUUUAUAAAGUGGAGGUGAUCGUGGAGCCAGUCUCAGGGCUGGGUGUUGUGGGGGCGUGGAUGAGGUGAGGCGGGUGAACACGGUAUUUGCGCUCAGUAAUUGCUGGGCUGCCUGUAACUCUAAGCAGAGUCGAAUGUCAUUCUGGAGGGGAAAUUAAAGAUGAUCUAAGCAGAAG